UACGUAGGGGACGAGUGUUGUCCGGAUUUACUGGGCGUAAAGCGCAUGUAGGUGGUGAUUUAAGUCAGGUGUUAAAGGCAGAGGCUCAACCUUUGUUCGCACUUGAUACUGAAUCACUCGAGGAUAGGAGAGGAGAGUGGAACUCACAGUGUAGCGGUGAAAUGCGUAGAUAUUGUGAGGAACACCAAUGGCGAAGGCAGCUCUCUGGACUAUUCCUGACACUAAGAUGCGAAAGCGUGGGGAGC
rnacentral:rRNA from 1 species